rnacentral:rRNA from 1 species
AGAGUUUGAUCCUGGCUCAGGAUGAACGCUGGCGGCGUGCCUAACACAUGCAAGUCGAGCGAUUUACUUCGGUAAAGAGCGGCGGACGGGUGAGUAACGCGUGGGUAACCUGCCCUAUACACACGGAUAACAUACCGAAAGGUAUGCUAAUACGAGAUAAUAUAAGAGAUUCGCAUGGAUUUUUUAUCAAAGCUCCGGCGGUAUGAGAUGGACCCGCGUCUGAUUAGCUAGUUGGUAAGGUAACGGCUUACCAAGGCGACGAUCAGUAGCCGACCUGAGAGGGUGAUCGGCCACAUUGGAACUGAGACACGGUCCAAACUCCUACGGGAGGCAGCAGUGGGGAAUAUUGCACAAUGGGCGAAAGCCUGAUGCAGCAACGCCGCGUGAGCGAUGAAGGCCUUCGGGUCGUAAAGCUCUGUCCUCAAGGAAGAUAAUGACGGUACUUGAGGAGGAAGCCCCGGCUAACUACGUGCCAGCAGCCGCGGUAAUACGUAGGGGGCUAGCGUUAUCCGGAUUUACUGGGCGUAAAGGGUGCGUAGGUGGUUUCUUAAGUCAGGAGUGAAAGGCUACGGCUCAACCGUAGUAAGCUCUUGAAACUGGGAAACUUGAGUGCAGGAGAGGAAAGUGGAAUUCCUAGUGUAGCGGUGAAAUGCGUAGAUAUUAGGAGGAACACCAGUAGCGAAGGCGGCUUUCUGGACUGUAACUGACACUGAGGCACGAAAGCGUGGGGAGCAAACAGGAUUAGACUCCCUGGUAGUCCACGCCGUAAACGAUGAGUACAAGGUGUCGGGGGGUUACCCCCCUCGGUGCCGCAGCUAACGCAU